rnacentral:rRNA from 1 species
UGCCUAACAGCUAGCCCAAUAAUAAAACCAAAGCUUACAUGUUUAUAACCCCUCAUGCACUAGACACCGCUAAACAAACCAUUUUCCCCCCUUAGUAUGGGCGACAGAAAAGGAACACAGACGCAACAGAAAAAGUACCGCAAGGGAACGCUGAAAGAGAAAAUGAAACAACCCAGUAAAGCCAAAAAAAGCAGAGACUAAACCUCGUACCUUUUGCAUCAUGAUUUAGCAAGUAUACCCAGGCAAAAAGAAUUUUAGUCUGGCCCCCCGAAACCAAGUGAGCUACUCCAAGACAACCUGCAGCCAGGGUAAAUCCGUCUCUGUGGCAAAAGAGUGGAAAGAGCUUUGAGUAGAGGUGACAGACCUAUCGAACUUGGUAAUAGCUGGUUGCUUGAGAAACGAAUAGGAGUUCUGCUUUUUAUGUUCUUACCCCAACUUAACACCUUCCUUUCCCUUAGCAGUAAAGAGAAUAAGAAAAUAAAAAAGUUAUUCAGAGGGGGUACAGCCCCUUUGAAAUAAGAUACAACUUUUCCAGGUGGGUAAAGAUCAUAAUCUUUUAAGGUAAUUAUGUUUCGGUGGGCCUGAAAGCAGCCAUCCCCAUAGAAUGCGUUAAAGCUCUAACAUACUCCCCCCCUCUGAUUCCGAUAACAAAUCUUAGCCCCCUAAUUUAUAUCAAGCCGUCCCAUACAGACAUGGGAGUGAUUAUGCUAAAAUGAGUAACCAGAGAACACAACUUCUCUCCCCGCACACGUGUAACUCGGAACGGACCCCCCACCGAAAACUAACGGCCCCAAACAGCAGAGGGUACUGGAUAAUGAUUACCAAACAAGAAAACCAUCCAAAACAUCACCGUUAACCCCACACUGGAGUGCUUCAAAGGAAAGACUAAAAGGAAAAGAAGGAACUCGGCAAACAUUUACAGCCUCGACUGUUUACCAAAAACAUCGCCUCUUGCUCAUCACAUAUAAGAGGUCACGCCUGCCCAGUGACACUCCAGUUUAACGGCCGCGGUAUUUUGACCGUGCAAAGGUAGCGUAAUCACUUGUCUUCUAAAUGAGGACCUGUAUGAAUGGCAUAACGAGGGCUUAACUGUCUCCUUUCCCCAGUCAGUGAAAUUGAUCUUCCCGUGCAGAAGCGGGAAUUAAAACAUAAGACGAGAAGACCCUAUGGAGCUUUAGACUACAGAACCGACCAUGUCAGCUACCCCCCUUAAACGAGUAGUAAUUAUUGAAAUCUGUUCCCUUGUCUUUGGUUGGGGCGACCACGGGGAACAAAAAAACCCCCAUGUGGACCGGGAGCACACAACUCCUAUAACCACGAGCCACAGCUCUAAUGCGCAGAACUUCUGACCAAUAUGACCCGGCAAAGCCGAUCAACGGACCGAGUUACCCUAGGGAUAACAGCGCAAUCCUCUUUAAGAGUUCCUAUCGACAAGGGGGUUUACGACCUCGAUGUUGGAUCAAGACAUCCUAAUGGUGCAACCGCUAUUAAGGGUUCGUUUGUUCAACGAUUAAAGUCUUACGUGAUCUGAGUUCAGACCGGAGUAAUCCAGGUCAGUUUCUAUCUAUGACAUGUUCUUUUCUAGUACGAAAGGACCGAAAAGGAAAGGCCUAUGCUUAAAGCAUGCCUUACCCUUACCUAAUGAAACUAACUAAAUUAGGUAAAAGGGCAUUCCCCUGUGCUAUAAAUAAUAGCGU